rnacentral:rRNA from 1 species
AUACGGAGGAUCCGAGCGUUAUCCGGAUUUAUUGGGUUUAAAGGGUGCGCAGGCGGCCAUUUAAGUCAGCGGUUAAAUCGUGGGGCUCAACCCCAUUCUGCCGUUGAUACUGGGUGGCUUGAUUGCGGUCGAGGUUGGCGGAAUUCGUUGUGUAGCGGUGAAAUGCAUAGAUAUGACGAAGAACACCGAUUGCGUAGGCAGCUGACCAGACCGCAAAUGACGCUCAUGCACGAAAGUGCGGAGAUCGAACAGGAUUAGAUACCCUGGUAGUCCGCACAGUAAACGAUGAAUACUUGUUUUCGGCGAUAUAAUGUCGGAGGCAAAGCGAAAGCGAUAAGUAUUCCACCUGGGGAGUACGCCGGCAACGGUGAAACUUAAAGGAAUUGACGGGG